rnacentral:snRNA from 1 species
GUGCUCACUUUGGCAGCACAUACACUAAAAUUAGAAUGAUAAGAGAAGAUGAUUAGCAUGGCCUCUGCUCAAGGAUGACACACAAAUUCAUGAAGCAUUACACAUUUUU